GACGAACGCUGGCGGCGUGCUUAACACAUGCCAGUCGAACGGAAAGGCCCUGCUUGCAGGGUACUCGAGUGGCGAACGGGUGAGUAACACGUGGGUGAUCUGCCCUGCACUUCGGGAUAAGCCUGGGAAACUGGGUCUAAUACCGGAUAGGAGCCAUUUUUAGUGUGAUGGUUGGAAAGUUUUUUCGGUGUAGGAUGAGCUCGCGGCCUAUCUGCUUGUUGGUGGGGUAAUGGCCUACCAAGGCGGCGACGGGUAGCCGGCCUGAGAGGGUGGACGGCCACAUUGGGACUGAGAGACGGCCCAGACUCCGACGGGAGGCAGCAGUGGGGAAUAUUGAACAAGGGGCGCAAGCCUGAUGCAGCGAGGCCGCGGGGGGGAGGACGGCCUUCGGGUUGUAAACUCAUUUCGCUAGGGACGAAGCUUUUUGUGACGGUACCUAGAUAAGAAGCACCGGCUAACUACGUG
rnacentral:rRNA from 1 species